UUUUAGAAUUUAAUUUAAAGUCUAACCUGCCCACUGAAAAAUUUUAAAUGGCCGCAGUAUCCUAACUGUGCAAAGGUAGCAUAAUCAUUAGUCUUUUAAUUGAAGGCUGGAAUGAAUGGUUGGAUGAAAUAUUAACUGUUUCAUAGAAAUUUAUAAUAGAAUUUUAUUUUUUAGUCAAAAAGCUAAAAUAAUAUUAAAAGACGAGAAGACCCUAUAAAUCUUUAUACCCAUAAAAUUUUAAUUAUUUAGAUAAAUUAAAUUAUAAUUUUUUAGUGUAUUUUAUUGGGGUGAUAUUAAAAUUUAAUAAACUUUUAAUUUAUAAUUAACAUAAAUUAAUGAAUUAUUGAUCCAUUUAUUAUGAUUAAAAAAUUAAGUUACUUUAGGGAUAACAGCGUAAUUUUUUUAGAGAGUUCAUAUUGAUAAAAA
rnacentral:rRNA from 1 species